GAUGAACGCUGGCGGCGUGCCUAAUACAUGCAAGUCGAGCGAACAGACGAGGAGCUUGCUCCUCUGACGUUAGCGGCGGACGGGUGAGUAACACGUGGAUAACCUACCUAUAAGACUGGGAUAACUUCGGGAAACCGGAGCUAAUACCGGAUAAUAUAUUGAACCGCAUGGUUCAAUAGUGAAAGACGGUUUUGCUGUCACUUAUAGAUGGAUCCGCGCCGCAUUAGCUAGUUGGUAAGGUAACGGCUUACCAAGGCAACGAUGCGUAGCCGACCUGGGAGGGUGGUCGGCCACACUGGAACUGAGACACGGUCCAGACUCCUACGGGAGGCAGCCGUAGGGAAUCUUCCGCAAUGGGCGAAAGCUUGACGGCGCAGCGCCGCGUGAGUGAUGAAGGUCUUCGGAUCGUAAACCUCUGUUAUUAGGGAAGAACACAUGUGUAAGUAACUAUGCGCGUCUUGACGGUACCUAGUCAGAAAGCCACGGCUAACUACGUG
rnacentral:rRNA from 1 species